GAAUGGAUUGAUCACUGUCCUCUAUGACGAUCCUUCGAUUGGAAGUAUUUAAAAAUUAAUCACUAAUGAUGUAUGUCUCAAAUUCUCAAUACCUUGAGAAUAUACAAAAUUAUUUUUAUUAAUUUCUAUGAUAAAUCAUAGAUACAUAUGAUAUGAUUGGUUAUAAAGACUGCCCAUCAAGUACAAAAUAUAUCCUAGAGAAAAGUAUGUGUCAGCU
rnacentral:lncRNA from 1 species